GUGAUGGUAAAGGCUCCAAGGUGGGUUUGCAUUUCCCACUUGGAAAGAAGGCCAACGCCCCCAGAAAGGAGUGCAUGUGGCCAUUCAAGGGUGCCUACUGAUUUCAUCCAUAGUAUGCCAGGUGGGAUAUGGGAAGACUAUGUUAACGGUAAUACUUCAUCAGAAAUGGAGAAAACCAAGUAAAAGCUCAUUCAGCUUUACUGCCGAAAACAACUCACCAAAUGUUUGACAUACAAAGAAAACACAGCUUUAAGACCUUGAUGCUGGGAAAGAUUGAAGCCAGGAGAAAAAGGGGACGACAGAGGAUGAGAUGG
ensembl:lncRNA